rnacentral:misc_RNA from 1 species
AACGCACCUUGCACUCUUUGGUAUUCCGAGGAGUAUGCCUGUUUGAGUGUCAUUAAAUUCUCAAACUACUUCUUGUUUUAUAGAGGCAGUUUGGAUUUGAGAGUUUGCUGGUUUUCUUUUUGAAUCAGCUCUCUUUAAAUGCAUUAGUAGUCUGGCUUUGUCCCACAUUCUCAAUUGAUGUGAUAGUUUAUCUACAUCAUUAGGGAGUGAAUCUGCUUAUAACUUGCUUGGUCCCUUUUCUGACCAAUGCUUUUGACAAUUUGACCUCAAAUCAGGUAGGACUACCCGCUGAACUUAA